UCUUUGGCAUGCCUUCCUUCCAAAGGUGGAGCUAAUUUCCCUCCCCUUGAGGGCAGUGGCUUUUGUCACUAUAUCUAAUGACUAGAAUGUCGUAGUAAUCACAAGGUAUGUCUUCAAGUCUAGCUCACACAAGACAGAACAACUUCGACUUGCUUCUCCUGGAUCCUUUGCUCUGGGGGAAGCUACUGGCCAUGCUAUGAGGACAUGUGAGCCGCCCUAUUGAGAGGUCCAGACUGUGGGGCAGAACUGAGGCUUCUUGACAACACCUGUGUGCACGAGCCAUCUUGGAAAUGGGUUCUCUGACCCCGGUCAAGCCUUCAGAUAGACUGUAGCCUCUGUGAGAGAUCUUGAGGCAGAAUCAUUUAGCUAAUCCACUCCCAACUCCCUGACCCACAGUAAAGCGGUGCAGUGUUCUUCCCAUGCUUUGGCUUUGGCCUUGGCCAUGUGACCCACUUUGGCCAACGAGAUGUUUUAAAGACUUGAAAUGUGCUGGUGGGGCAAGAUGAGUUCUCUCGUGCCUCGACCAUCACGAUGAGGAGAACAUACCGUGGCGAGCAUACUGGUCUCUGGAAGGGGAGAGAACGCCAAGCAGAGCUUGAGGUCUGCAGCAUGAAGCAGAGCUGUCCCAACGGCCCCCCCACAAAGGAUGUUUCCUUGAAACACAACCAGAAGUAAGAAGAAGUAAACUUUCCUGGGAGACAUCCUCAACCGGUGGGAGAUGAGAUAAAUGCCCCAGCCCCCUGAACUUCAGAGAGGACCAUUUUGAGGCACAUUUUAUACAGUUCCUCAGAGGGGCCCCAGAAGAAUGGAGACCCAGUUGUACACCCUUUAUUAGCGUCUCCUCCUGCCCUGUCUUACGUCCCUGCUUUCUGGAUCAACUCGAGCUCUCCCCACCGUUCUGACCUCGAGGUCAUAGAGAAAACACCCUGUCCUCCAAAUACAUUC